CUGGCUCCUCCAUCUGUGACGUGAUGAUUCAGGGCAAAAGUGGACCUGUCAGAAACAGGAAGGGAAGAUAAGAUAAAAAUAAAACAAAAUAAAGUAAAAAGUUAGCCAGACAUAACUUUCUCCGCGCAGCAACAUUCACAUCCUUAAAACAAAAAUCCCACAGCAGAGCCCAGAAUGGGGGCCAGACUUUGGGCUCCAGGUCAAGACUGGAGAGCAGCGGGGGAAGGGAUUCAGCGCCCUGCACCCGCCCAGAUGCGGGAACAGAGAGCCAGGCGGCCCGGCCAGGACCCAGGGCUGUGGGCAGUGGGGCUGCCUCAGCUCUGCACGCUGUGCUCAGCCCCCCUUCACCCCAAGAGCCAGCGAGCUGGGGAGCUGCAGCGUGAUUGAUGGGCCCCAGCUUGAAUGGAAAGUCCAGAUUCCAGGGAGACCGCUUCAGAGCACACGUGCUGACGUUUGUCGGUGGCUGAGUCCUUUUCCACCAGCAGCAUGGAGUCUGAGGCGUCAGGUGGGACCACUUCCUUUCUCUGGGCCCAGGAAGGUGUUCUGUGGGCAUUCUUCCUUAGAAAGAAAAGAACCAAGCUCGCCAUUUAUCCUUGCGUUUGGAGCCUGGCAUCGUCAGGAACUGCACUGACCUUGCAAAACACUCCACCUGCCGUUUCCAAGAAAUAUUCUGUUCUCUGAGAUUGCUGGAGCCCAGACCAUCAUCAAUGAUGCAAACCUGAAGUCAGAGCUGAGAAAGGCCCCUGAUACACACACCAGUAGUGGUCUGUAAGACUCUCACCGGCUUGUUCUCACCGGCUUGAUCAAAACCCACUGCUUAUUACUGGCUCUUUUAUUUGUCUAUGUUUGUAUGAAUACAGUUUGUUAAACUGUACUAGGAUUGUUCUUAUGCCCAAACUUUGUAUUUUUGAAAAGAUACAAGGCUACAGACCAUUAUUGUUCCUAAAAACAAAAACAGCAAUGUGAUUCUUACAUAUGUGGAAUAUACAUAACUCAGAUCCCCUACAUUUGAGACUUACAGAAAGGAAGUAUAGGGAUUGGGGCCUCACUUGUUGAGGGGGGUGGGCUAGGAUAGGGCCACCCCCAAUGUCUCCAUCCAGGUGAGAGCACAAGAAACCGGGGAGGGGGGCGGCAAGUUCUUUAGGGCCCCCCAGGGAAGCCAGCCUCUGAGCCUAGAACUCAAAUCCCCUAUGUUUCAUGGCACAACCUGGAUGUUCCUCCCAUAAGUGCAUGUGGAGAGGACUGGCCCAGCACCCACUGCACUGACUGACCACCCAGCAUGAAACAGUGGUCACAAGGCUUGGUUUCCAGGUAGCUCUUUUAUCUUGGGCAAGUCAUUUUACUCCUCUGGUCCUCAGUUUCCAUGCAAAUCUGUGCAUAAAGGUCUCUCCUGGCUCUAAAAGGUCAGGAGUCUGUAAAAAACAUCAGCCACGGAGCUGGCAAAGAGAUUGAUGGGGACUUGUCAGGGGCAUCAUUGUCGCUGUCCUCACUAGUUGAGGGUGGGCAGAGGCUGGACGACCCUGCAGACCAGUGACCUGAGGUUUCUCCCGUCCCCCUGACCUCAUUGGUCUGCCUCCUUCUUGGGCCCAAGGUUGUCAGACUCUCCUCUCCUUGGGAGACAGUCACAGUGGGUUCUAGCUCUAUGUUCUUUGAUGUUUCCUGUCAGAGUGACUUGAAAUCCCAGAUCUUCAAGUAGCCCCUUCACGCAUAGCUUUUCUUUUCUUGGAAAUGCUGAUCCUCCAUUGACACCCCACCCCUGCAGUGGAGUAGAGCUGCCUGGGCCACUUCCGUGACGGCAGGUCUACGCGAGUCACAGGGAUUUGAAGCUGAAGGGACCUUCUCGAGCGUUGACUCCAACUCUUUUAUUUCCUAGAUGAGAAUAAAAGGCCCCAAGAGGGGAAGUGACUCCA
ensembl:lncRNA